UGUCUCUAGUUUAAUUGGAGAUAAAUCCUGCCCGGUGUAAUUAAACGGCUGCAGUAUUUUGACUGUACUAAGGUAGCGUAAUCCGUUGUCUUUUAAUUGGAGACUAGUAUGAAUGGGUUAACAAUGUGAAACUUUAUUUUUUUUUGAUAUUGAAAUUAAUAUGUAGGUGAAAAAGCCUAUAUAAAUAUGAAAGACAAGAAGACCCUAAGAGCUUAAUAGCUAACAGCGAAUAAUUUGGUUGGGGCAACAAAAAAGGAGCAUUUUUAAAAAAUCAGACGGUGUCGAGUAAAUGAUCCAUAAGAUCAAAAGUGAAGUUACCUUAGGGCUAACAGGCUAAUCUUUCUUGAGAGUUCAAAUUAAUAGAAAGGGUUGGCACCUCGAUGUUGGCUUAGAAAUCCUAUUGGUGCAGCAGCUGAUAAGGUGGGUUUGUUCACCCUUUAAAUUUCUACG
rnacentral:rRNA from 1 species